rnacentral:lncRNA from 1 species
CCGACCUUGUGUGGUAUCUUUCUGAACUCCCUCGACCGUCCGAGCUUCCAUAAUACCAUCCGAACUUCUCCGAUAAUGAGCUCCUCCAUUCAUCUACCAGGCUGCUCCAAACGCUUUCUGAGCUUCACUAUCAGUCGAUUUUCUACAGUAACCAGACUCCAUCCAUGUUUCUACGGUGGUCGACUGCCUUCCGAAUUUUAUCUGGGCUCCUACAAGAGCCAAACUUCAUCCAAACUUCUAUAGUGGAUGGAUCCCAGACGAACUUCUACAACGGAUAGGCUCCACCAGCCGAAUCUCUACUCCGAACUUCUUCCAGACUUCAUCAAUGAUCGAGCUUCUCCAGCAGUGGGACUUCCACAAUAAAAAGUCUCCAUCCGAGCUUCCAUGACAAUUGGUCUUCGUCCAAGCUUCUACAAUAAGCGGACUUCAUCCGGACUCCUACAAGAGUCGGACUCCAUUCAAACUUCUGCAACAGAAUUGAAUCCCAGACUCCUCCAACAUUCGACCUUCCACAGUGUCCUC